CAGAUUAUUGAUACCACUAUCUUUGUCCCGGCAUUGCCGGUAAGCUGUCGUGUGUGCUGGGCAGUGGACACACAGCUGAACACGGAAACGACGGGAACGCUUAUGUAUGAUAUGUGCUGGACAGGGGACAGGGGACAGUGAUCAACGUACACGUCACCGUCACGUCACGUACGUAAGGAUUCUGUACAUAUACGUAUUACAUGAGGUGUCAAUUAAGGAGGUUGCUGAUGAGGGCAGCUAUACAUUGUGGUGUGAGUGUGACUUGGGAGCGAGCCAGCCAGCCAUAGGGAAAGCGUGUCAGCAUCCUGAUAUGAUCUGACUAUAAAUUGGGAUAGUGAUUUAUCGUCAGAUCAUAUCAGCAUCCAGCAGUGAACACAAAGUAAGCAAAGGAAAGAUGGAGAUAGACGAGAAAUCUAGGGUUCUGAUCUACUAUGAGAUAAGCAAAGAGAGAAGAAGGAAAUAGCACCAGCAAUGCUCGACUUCCUUUCUUCCGUUGCUGCCGCCGAGUGAGUUUUUCUACAGAACAGCAGUGGUCUUUGACCGUUGUACGUCAACAACCACGUAACAACGGGAAUGAUAAAUCAACGAAGUAGAUCAACAUUUAUUCCUCUCUGUCGCCUUUUGGUGCCCAUUUCUUCAGACAUGGUGCUUGUCUUCUUCCGAGCCUGACAAGGCGUUUCCAAUAAUCUUUUUCUUACUUUGUGUUCAUUGCUGGAUGCAAAAUUUAUGUUAUUGAUGAUGCAUGCUUGAGUUGUUAAAACAACAUUGUAUAUUUUUUCGUUAAACUUGUCAUCUCACUAAGAUUCAUACUUAUCAGAUAUAUAUGUGCUGCAAUUUUUAUAAUAGUUCUUGU
rnacentral:lncRNA from 1 species